rnacentral:ncRNA from 1 species
CAAAAUUCGUUGAUGAGAACAAAAUCGUAGCCAUGAUUAUUUGCAGAGAGUCUGUGGCUGGUGCGAACAGACAAUAAUCGGAUAUUGAUUAUCCUCUCUAAGAAGCGGGCUGAAAGCAGUUAGUUGCAAGUAAACUUCGCCGGUCUCCUCCGUUAUGGGAUAGCAUAUGUUGGUAUGUGAAGUGUCACAGAGAUUUUCUGUGGAAUUAGGGUGGUAUCGCGGAUUUUAUUCGUCCCUUUC